CUCGUACCUUUUGCAUCAUGGUCUAGCCAGUCUACCCAAGCAAAAUGUAACUUUCAGUUUGACACCCCGAAACCAAGCGAGCUACUUCAGAACAGCCAAAAGGGCCAACCCGUCUCUGUUGCAAAAGAGUGGGAAGAUUCUCAAGUAGAGGUGACAAGCCUACCGAGCUUGGAGAUAGCUGGUUGUUCAGAAAAAGAGUUUUAGCUCUACCUUAAGUUUUCCCAUUAAACUAAACAAACCCCAAGACUUAAGAGCUAUUCAAAUAAGGCACAGCUUAUUUGAAAUAGGGCACAGCCUACAACAUAGGGUAAACAAGAGUAACUUAAAUAAAGUAGGCCUAAAAGCAGCCACCUUUAGAAAAGCGUCAAAGCUUAACCAUUCCCUGCUCACAAUACCUUAAAUUUUCACUAACCCCUCACUAUUACUGAACAAUUUUAUAAUCAUAUAAAAGCUAUCAUGCUAGAACUAGUAACAAGAAAUUGCCUUUCUCCUAAAUGUAAACAUAAACCAAAAUAGACUAUCUAUUGGUUAUUAACGUAAAUGCCCAAAUUAUAGCAACAUCCUCCAGAAAAUCCUAUAAUCCCCAACGUUAACCUUACACUAGAACAUUUCAGGAAAGAUUUAAAGAAAAAGAAGAGCCUCGGCAAAUUUUAACCUCGCCUGUUUAC
rnacentral:rRNA from 1 species